GACGAACGCUGGCGGCGUGCUUAACACAUGCAAGUCGAACGAAGAGCGAUGGAAGCUUGCUUCUAUCACUCUUAGUGGCGAACGGGUGAGUAACGCGUAAUCAACCUGCCCUUCAGAGGGGGACAACAGUUGGAAACGACUGCUAAUACCGCAUACGAUCUAACCUCGGCAUCGAGGAUAGAUGAAAGGUGGCCUCUACAUGUAAGCUAUCACUGAAGGAGGGGAUUGCGUCUGAUUAGCUAGUUGGAGGGGUAACGGCCCACCAAGGCGAUGAUCAGUAGCCGGUCUGAGAGGAUGAACGGCCACAUUGGGACUGAGACACGGCCCAGACUCCUACGGGAGGCAGCAGUGGGGAAUCUUCCGCAAUGGAAGAAAGUCUGACGGAGCAACGCCGCGUGAGUGAUGACGGCCGUCGGGUUGUAAAGCUCUGUUAAUCGGGACGAAAGGCCUUCUUGCGAAUAGUGAGAAGGAUUGACGGUACCGGAAUAGAAAGCCACGGCUAACUACGUG
rnacentral:rRNA from 1 species